UACGGGGGGGGCAAGCGUUGUUCGGAAUUACUGGGCGUAAAGGGUUCGUAGGUCGCCAACUAAGUCAGACGUGAAAUCCCUCAGCUUAACUGGGGAACUGCGUCUGAGACUGGAUGGCUUGAGUGCAGGAGAGGAACGCGGAAUUCCAGGUGUAGCGGUGAAAUGCGUAGAUAUCUGGAGGAACACCGGUGGCGAAGGCGGCGUUCUGGACUGCAACUGACACUGAUGAACGAAAGCCAGGGGAGCAAACGGG
rnacentral:rRNA from 1 species